rnacentral:lncRNA from 1 species
CCAAAUACAAUACAAACCAAGAUUAACAUAGAUAUAUGCUAGAUAUCCAACUACUACCUCACAACUAUACACCGAAUGUCCAAUUGAAGAUCUUUUCGCGAACUCCAAAGAUGCUAGAUACGCUACUUUUGAUAAUGAUCCCGCUCCUGCUCCCCGCCUACGCUCCAUAAGGAUACGUACCCAAGAAUGCACAAAAUACAAACUUGGGCCAGCUUACGCUGGUAUAAGUGAUUCUCGCACAAUAAGACAAGCCAUAAAUAACUACAACUAGGGUAUAAUUAUUUAACUUCGCAUACCUUGGUUUCCAUUUAGCUUAUGGUAGGCCAGCCCUGCAUACACGUUAGUGGACCUACCAUCCUGCAAUAUCUUGUACGUGAUAAUUAUAAACACCAUUAUACAUAUAAUAUAUGCUAGAAAUCUAAGCAAGUCACAAAGAAAACAACUUCUAAUAAAGCUAAGCAAGUCAUCACAAUCAAGCCAAAGUUAAUACCCUAGCCACACUCCACAAUAGCCAUAUACUACACACUAUCUAUGGCUAACACAGAUAUCCCUGUGCCUCGUCAGAUAACUCGCAACCACUUUCGAUAACCGGAAUCCAUCAUUGGGAUAUCAACUAAGAUUCCGCCGCCUCGAAAAGGCUAAGCUUAUCCGGAUCGCGCUAUAAACAUUUACCACUCGUCUACUCAUAAGAACGAGAAGGUACUCACCCCGAGCAUAAGGGGUAACGGGCUAAUAAUUCACCUUGGGACACACACACACCAAGGGUUUUCAAAACACUUUUUCUUUUUCUCAUUUCGAAAUUCAAUACACUCAUGGUACUAUAGCCCACUUAAUAUUUUCGGAGUUGUGGCGUGCUAGGAUAUCUGAGUCAAGCUACUGACUCGCGCAACAAAGCAAACACACACAAAAUAAGCUUAACAAUUCAUGAUCCAGAUUAUAAAUCGGAUUAAAAGAUAACCAAGACAUAACCGAUUCACUACUAUAUCACAUCAUCAUUAUUGAGCAUAUAGAAUACAGAUAAUUCUGAAAAGAAGCAGUACAACAACCACAUAUUAUAUAUCAGACAGGUCCACAACUGAAUUCAAUAACGUUCUCUACACAAAUCACAAUGUAUUCCAGCAACACUGCAAAAACCUGUCAGAUAUUGCACCAGAUAUAUGACAGACUAAACAAUCGAUUUAGCCCUCGACUAAAACUGAAAAUAUAAAGCUACAUGAGUCUGGUUUACUGGGUUUUUGAAAUCAACCAAAAAGUUUCGGUAUUGAGUCUGUUGUUUAGGGACGUCCUGAACCUGCUUGUCAGACUUGCAUCAUAAUUUCUACCCAUUUAACAGCAGAAACAGAGAGAAGUGUAAACGGCAAUGUUCUAGAUAAAAGAACUUACUUUCAUCUCCAAUUGGAAUAAUAUAAAAAUAUUCAAUAGUUUAGUUUCUAUGGUUAAAAUGCCGCAGCAGUGCAGAGGUUCCAGGAAUCAAGAAUGUACUGACUAUUUACCAAAAUAAGAACAUGGGUUGAUGUCAUGGACCCAUGAGCAACAAUUCCUACUUAAUCAACCAGGUUCAAUACUCAAAAUAGGAGUAAUUAAACCACAAAAAGAAAAUCACUCACCUUUGGUUAGAGUUAACUCCUUUCCUAAUCCAAAAGAAAGUAAGAUGAUAACUUCAAUCUCACCAAAGAAGCAAGCUUGAAUCACCAACAAGAACCCACCAAU